UACCCUAUCCCAGACUGCCGAGCUGUGGGACUGCUUUGUGACAAAUGACUCACCCUCAGUUGGGUGGUACUUGCUAGACAAGGGACAUGGGUUCCAAAACCCAGUGAAUUGAGAGAGGCUGGGGACAGGUAUCUGUGUCUGGUGGUACAGUCUCCUUGUAGAGCCAGAAGCACCAGUUCCACCCCCUCCUCUCUCCACUGUGGAAUGUCAGAGUUGAUUUUUUUAUUCCCUUAAGAAUCCAGAUACAGGUUACUGAGCUGAACUCACUUUGUGCUAAUGGUGCACUAGCACUGGGGCUCACCUACUAAGAGCUGAGAUCACUAAGAGUUGAAAUCACUAAAGAGCUGAAAUUACUGAACUGAGAGUACUGUGCUAAUUAGUGGGGGAGCCUGAAACUAUACUGUGGAACAGAGCAGCUGGCGGAGUGGAGCAGUUUGUGGGGAUGGCUGGAGUGGAUCUCGGGACAGCUGGUGGAGCAGAGCGGCUGGCAGAGUGGAGUAGCUGUGGGACAGGUGGAGCAGCCCACAGAGCGAGCGGAGCCAAGCAGUUUGCAGGGACAACUGGAGCAGCUCACAGGACAGCUGGUGGAGCAGAGCAGCUGGUGGAGCAGAACAGUUUGUGAGGAUGGCUGGAGGAGCAGAGUGGAGCGGCUGGUAAAGCAGAGCAGUUCGUGGAGAAGGCGGAAGCAGAACCCACGGAGAGGCAGGGCAGUUGGCCCCGGACCACGGUCCACACUAUGCUAUCCUGUCAACUCCCCCUACUCUUCUCAAUCCAGUGGAGUACAGGAGUUGAAGGGAGAGUGAUCUGCAGUCAGUUUAGCAGAACUUCACUAGACCCACUAAAUCGACUGCUGAUGCAUCGAUUGCUGCUCAUCGAUGCCCCGAUUAGAAACAAAGGACACGCUUCAGGAAGCCCCUAAGUGGAUGUGUUCGGUGGAAGAGAAAAAAGACAAAAAAUCUUUUCCCUUUGUAGGCAUGCUCCUGCUUCGACACCAGCACAAUUCAGAGCCAGCACUCCCUUGAAGCCUAACACUACCUGGAAGUGUCCCAUGGCUCCUAGGGGUGUAGUCUGCUGUGUUGCAGGUGUAGUCAGAGUAUCAUCCCCUCUCAUCAGGCAGUAUGUUAACCCUGUCUGCAGCAGGUAUAAGGAGCAUUGCACAACACGCCUGACAGCAAGCCACAGGAUCCCCGAGGCAUCUUGUUUGCAACUGCAUUGUAGAGACAAAAUGCAUUGAACAUCUCUUCUCAGCUGCUCCAGCUAUUUCCAUACCCUCCUCAGUGAUCCUUACAGUAGCGCCAAUCUAGUACCAUUUCUGUUAUAUUUGUAUUUCAAGAAAGAUUGCUUUAGAAUGGUCAAGGACUAUGGGUUAAACUGGUUUUUUUCUCCACGUUAUUAUAUAAACC